rnacentral:pre_miRNA from 10 species
AUCUGUGCUCUUUGAUUACAGUUGUUCAACCAGUUACUAAUCUAACUAAUUGUAACUGGUUGAACAACUGAACCCAAAGGGUGCAAAGUAGAAACAUU